CUUCUUUGCUGGAAGCCAUUUGGUAAUGUUUACAUCUAAGGAAGUGAAGUGAUGGUCAUGAGUGCUGUCAUGUUUGGACACAACAAGUACAAAGUACAGAGCUCACUUAUCUAGCAGCCCUAAGAGUACAAAUGAGCGUAUAAAAUACCACUUUUUUUUCAGCCCUUUGGUUGUUAUUAAGUGUUUCAGGCUGUCCCUUUACAUGAAAGUCAAACCAACGUGACAGCCUAUUUGCAUCUGUGUUUUUAUCGUACAGCUGGCAGGAAGAGCUGUAGCCUGGGAGGAAAUCCUUCUGAAGGCUUACAGAAAUCGCUCUGGGGGGAAAAAAUCGCUAUUGUCAGAAUCUGCCAGUCUCCCUGGUACCUGUGACUUGGCGACCUACAUAUACAAAUCUACAUGUACACAUUACAAAAUAAAGGUGAACCAGGAAGCUGCAGCCAUGGUGACCAAAUUACAUUCUUCUUCUUUCUGUGGUGGUGUUCAUGGAGACCUUCUGGACGCACCAAACAUCAAAGGGAAGAAGCUGUGGAUCUUUACGGGCUCUGUGACUGAACACUUGACCCACAAAUGCCCUGCUUAUGGAUAACCAGGACAGGAAAUUAAUUCAAGAUUACAGCAUUGCAAAAAAGGGUUCUGUGUACAAACUAUUCAGAGG
ensembl:lncRNA